rnacentral:rRNA from 1 species
UCCUACGGGAGGCAGCAGUGGGGAAUAUUGGACAAUGGGCGCAAGCCUGAUCCAGCCAUGCCGCGUGGGUGAUGAAGGCCCUAGGGUUGCAAAGCCCUUUCGGCGGGGAAGAUAAUGACGGUACCCGCAGAAGAAGCCCCGGCUAACUUCGUGCCAGCAGCCGCGGUA